rnacentral:rRNA from 1 species
AUGCACGGCCAAGGCAAUCAAUCCGGAAGCAGAAGCACUUCUCCGAUGGAAGUCCACUUUGAUUCGCGCCAACUCGUUGUCCUCAUGGUCGAUGGCAAACUCUACAUGCUCUUGGUUCGCGUCACCUGUGAUGCUGCCGGGCAUGUUAUCAAGCUCCACCUUCCCAACUCAAGACUCCAUGGUCUGUUACCAGAUCCACUGCCAGAGAUGGUCCCAAGGUUGAGGUAUCUAAAUUUGUCGGCUAAUGGAUUCUCUGGCUCCAUACCUUGCUCAUUCUCAAGGCUCCGAAAGCUAGAGAUACUAUGUAUCAACGGAAAUAAUCUCACGGGUGGAAUCCCAGAGGAGCUGGGGAUGAUACCUGGAUUGCAAACUCUUCUACUGGGCAGCAACCCACUUGGUGGAUCGAUCCCAGCUUCACUCGGGCAGCUUCAGUUGCUACAGAAACUUGGCAUUAGAAACGCUAGUUUGUUUUCUACGCUUCCACCCGAGCUGGGGAACCUUACUAACCUCCGGGACAUGUACCUAUCACAUAACCAGUUAUUUGGAAGUUUGCCACCAUCUUUUGCCAGGAUGCAAGAAUUGAGACAGUUUGGAAUAAAUACAAACAGCAUCAGCGGUACCAUCCCACAAGAGAUGUUUACAAAUCAGACCAAGCUCCAGGUAUUUGAUGCAUCCAGUAACCAGUUGACUGGAAGACUCCCAUCACAAAUCAGCAAGUGCAUGGAAUUGCAAUACUUUGAUAUAGGGAACAACAGAUUCAGUGGUACCAUCCCACAAGAGAUGUUUACAAACUGGACCAAGCUUGAGGUAUUUGAUGCAUCCAGAAAUCGCCUUACUGGAGUUAUACCACCAGCUAUCAGCAAUGCAACAUCUUUGAAAUUGCUUGCCCUCAGGUCCAACCAUCUUGGGGGUGAGCUUCCUGCAAGUAUAUCCUGUCUGAUAAAUCUUGUUGUUCUGUUAUUGUCUGGCAACAAGCUUACAGAUGUAAUUCGUACUGUCAAUAGGCAGUCGCGGGCUUUCAAGGUGUCCAACAAUACAGAACAUAGCAGCUUUUUGGGAGAAUCACUGUCUUCCCUUUGCCAACUGCCACGUUUGCAGAUCUUGGAUCUAUCACAGAAUCAGUUCUUUGGAGAGCUUCCUGGUUGCUACUGGAAUUUGAAAGACUUGCAAUCCUUGAACUUGUCGGGCAAUGCUUUUUCUGGGGAAGUUCCAACCUCAACUUACUACAACUCUUCACUACGAUCACUGCACUUGUCAAAUAACAAUUUCACAGGCUGCUUUCCAGAAGUGUUGAAGAACUUCAAAAACCUUGUUGUUUUGGAUCUCGGGAACAAUAAUAUUUCUGGUGCAAUUCCUUUGUGGAUAAGGGACAACAACCCUAUGCUGAAGAUUCUUAAACUGCGAUCAAACAGGUUCUGUGGAAGUAUUCCUUGGCAGCUGUCGCAACUCUCCCAUCUCCAACUGCUUGAUCUAGCUGAAAAUAGUUUUGAAGGUUCCAUACCAGAAAGAUUUUUCAACUUUUCCAUGAUGACACAUACAUCUACGAUGCAGCCAGUUCUAACAAUCAACAUAAAAUCUACCGCCUUUGGAUAUUUUGAUGAGGGUGGCAUGGACAUUAUUUGGAAGGGGCAGGAGCAUACCUUUCAGGUAAGGCAUGCAUUUGUGACCGGCAUCGAUCUCUCUGGCAAUUCUCUCUCCGGUGAAAUCCCUUUAGAGUUAACAAAUCUUAGAGGCAUCCAGUUGCUAAAUAUGUCAAGAAAUUAUCUGUGUGGUGGUAUCCCCAAGGACAUUGGCAAUCUGAAGUCGUUAGAAUCCCUUGACCUUUCGUUGAACAAACUAUCCGGUCCUAUUCCUUCUAGCAUGUCAAACUUGAUAUUCCUCAACACUCUCAAUCUCUCCAACAACCUUCUAUCUGGAGAGAUACCUACAGGUAAUCAACUCCAGACGCUUGAUGACCCAUCUAUCUAUAGCAAUAAUCUGGGACUUUGUGGUCCCCCAUUGAGCAUAGCAUGUACUCCCUCCGUCCGCGAAUAA